AGUGCAGGCACAGCCACCGUGACUCUCUGCUGGGAGGUUAACAGCUCCAUCAGUUCAGGGACUGCCUGACCCAGCCUGACCAAAUUAGAGCAAGUAAUGGGAGAAAGAAUUGUGCCAUGAAAAAUGGAAAACUCCUGAGAAGCUGUUCCAGCGUCAGGAGAGCAGCAGACAAGCUGGACUGGGGAAGAUUCUUCCUGCAAGACCUGCAGAGUGUAUGACACAUAACCAGCACCCAAGAAAUGUCUACCGAGGAAUUAAUGAAUGAGCCAUCUUGUGAUCAUCUGGCAAGACAGCCCAAGAAUAAAGCCGUCACCAUGGAGACUAAGAAGAGACAGAAAGACACUGGGUCUUCAUUGUCUCGUCCAGCUGUUCAUGAGGCCUUAUCUGAAGCCCACGUGACCUCCGGACUACUCACUUACAUGAGAGAAUAAAGCUCUUUUUUGUUUAGACCAAAUAAAUACAUAAUACAAUUACAUAAUCCCUUGAUUCCUUUUUAUGACUGAGCUCAGAGACUAUAUUUUGUCAUUUUAAAUCACCUUUGUCUUACAGUUUAUUUAACUGAAACAAAUAAACAAACCAAAACACGCCA
rnacentral:lncRNA from 1 species